rnacentral:lncRNA from 1 species
AAGAAAAAUCCUUUUAUUAUUAAUAAAAAAUUUGAUACAAGUACCAAAAGUAUUGGCCUAUAUGGCUUACACCAACAUGUCAUAGUGCCAAUAUUCAAGACCCCUGAGUGGAUAGUCAUUCAAUUUGACAGCAACAAUAACACUAAUGUCAAUAGAUCGGUAUCGUUGUUGAUUAUACGGUUAGUGGGCUCCGUCCUCUACUCAUUUGAU